CGUGGGUAACCUGCCCAUCAGAGGGGGAUAACAUUCGGAAACGGAUGCUAAAGCCGCAUAGGUCUUCGAACCGCAUGGUUUGAAGAGGAAAAGAGGCGCAAGCUUCUGCUGAUGGAUGGACCCGCGGUGCAUUAGCUAGUUGGUGAGGUAACGGCUCACCAAGGCCGUGAUGCAUAGCCGACCUGAGAGGGUGAUCGGCCACAUUGGGACUGAGACACGGCCCAA
rnacentral:rRNA from 1 species